UACAGGGGGUGCAAACGUUGCUCGGAAUCAUUGGGCGUAAAGCGCACGUAGGCGGUCUGUUAUGUCGGAUGUGAAAGCCCUUGGCUUAACUGAGGAAGUGCAUCCGAAACUGGCAGGCUAGAGUACUAAAGAGGGUCGCGGAAUUCCCGGUGUAGAGGUGAAAUUCGUAGAUAUCGGGAGGAACACCGGUGGCGAAGGCGGCGACCUGGGUAGAUACUGACGCUGAGGUGCGAAAGCGUCGGGAGCAAACAGG
rnacentral:rRNA from 1 species